rnacentral:lncRNA from 1 species
GGGGGCUGCGCACUGAUGGGGGGGGGGGUGGGGCAGAGGCCAAGGCGGGGGGGUGUGGGGGGGGGUCAGGACCCCCUUAUUCCUUCUUGCCCCCCCAUUUGGCCAUCUUAUUAUUGAUGGGCAUCUUCUGGAAGCGGCUGGACUUCAGGUACGCCGCCACCUUCUCCAGCGCCCCGAAGCGCUCCAUGAAGCUGCCCAGGUUGCCGUAGGGCUCCAGGCAGCGCGGGGCGAAGAUGCGGUUCUGAUCCAACACAUCAAACAUGAGGAAAUCCACGAAGGUGAGCUUCUCCCCUGCAAACCACUUUCUGUCCCCCAGGAAGGCGGAGAAGAGCCGCAGUUUGCCGGGCAGCUGCUCCAAAUAUCCCGGCUUCAGCUUCUCGAAGUCGGGGCUGUAGCACACCAUCACUAGGCUCAUACGGAAGUCCAUCACCUGGUUCUCCAGCACGUCCACGCGCUGCCGCUCCUCCUCCGUGUCCCCACACAUGUUGUGCUUGCGGGCGAUGUAGCGCAGGAUGGCGUUGCUCUGGGUCAGUUUGACGUCGCCGUCGAUGAAGUAGGGGAGAUUUGGGAAGUCCAGCCCCAGCUUCUCCUUCUCGUUGAUCCAUUGGCUCUUAUCAUAAUCGGGGGCUUCCCCGCAGCUGUACAGUUUGUCCUCAUAGGGCGUCCCGGUGUGCUCCAGCAGCAGGCGGAUGGCGUGGGCCAGCCCGCGGAUAUCCCAGUAUCCCAACACCGCCAUUGCUGCGCGCACUCCCGACGGCGCCCCCCCCGCCCCCUGAGCCCCCCCGCAGCUCCUCCCUUUCCC